AUAACCAAAUGAUGUUUACAAGUGAAAAAAUAUGUUAUAUUCGAUAUGACUCAACAAUAACAUACCAGAGAAUCACCAGAGCGUCAGAAUAACAUUUAGACCAAAAAAAAAACCAGGAGUCAGAAACCACGUAACAAAAAUUCGAUCUCUCUCAGAAGAUGAGGAUGAAAGAUUGUGUCUAGGUAGUUACAAAAAAAAAAUUGUGCUUAGGCGUUAGAAAUUGUGUAUAGGUGUUAGAAAUUGACAUUAGAU
rnacentral:lncRNA from 1 species